GCCCACACUGUUGCCUGGGCUAGAGUGUAGUGGCACGAUCUCAGCUCACUGCAACCUCUGCCUCCCAGAUUCAAGAGAUUCUCCUGCCUCAGUUUCCCGAGCAGCUGGGAUUACAGAUGCCCGCCACCACACCCAGCUAAUUUUUUGUUUUUUUAGUAGAGACAGGGUUUCCCCAUGUUGGCCAGGCUGGUCUCAAACUCCUGACCUCAUGAUUUGCCCGCCUUGGCCUCCUAAAGUGAUGGGAUUACAGGCGUGAGCCACCGCACCCGGCCUGUAUUCAUAUAUAUAUAUAUAUGGAAGUACAGGCUCCAAAGCCCCCAUACUAUUUCCUGUUUCCUCUCCCUUGCACUGGUACAUGUUUGAUAUAUACAACUUUUCAAUAUUUUGGCAGCUUCACCUGUGAUUUUUUUUUAAUAAAAAAAGAAGGGGCAGGAGGUGACAGUAAUCAUCACAAUUUAUUUUUUCUUGUCACAUGAAAAGAAACAAAUCUUUGUGAAAUAAUUUAAUACUUUGAAGGGUGACCCAGAAACACAAGUAAUGGCUAUCAAUGCCUCUUCCAGCCAGUGAAGCUACAAGAACAAGGGAGUCCAAUGCUUCUUUUGAAGAAAGCUUUAAAUUCAUGGCACUAUUUUGGAAUAUGAGAAAAAUAUUUUAAAAUGCAUUUCUUGGCCUCUCUUGUUUUGUUUUGUUUCCUUCCUGCUGCUCUUGGGGAGUAUUAAUAAAAGAGAUGGGAUAAGUGAAAAACACAAGACAGAGAACUAUUUAUUUUUUUUCAGUUUUUUUGCCACUGAAAUGAAAAGAUUAUAAUAAUAAUAGUCACCAUUUAUUAAACUCUGCUAAGCACAUCAUGGCCUGAUUCAAUCCUUUUAGCAUCAUACAAGGAAGUUAUUAUCUCCCCUUUACAGAGAAGGCUGUGGCUGGGGAGGUAGGGGUUGAGAACUUGCCUGAAGUCAUAGCACAUCCUAGCUGCUAGGAACUAUUUUCUGAGCUAGGCUCUUCACACUGACCAUCUUAUAAAGUCUCUCACAGCAUCCCUGGAAUAAAUGCAUUAUUGUCAACAUUUUUAUAACUUACAAAAGGCUAAGUGGUAAAUUGAGGGUAGAAUUCAAACUGAGGUCUUUCCAACUCCAAAACAUGUGCUGUGAUGACCGUGCCAUAAACUUUCUCGUACCUUGUCAGAACAAAUGUACUGAAACUACCAUAGUUUCAGAACUGUAAUAAUCGAUGCAUAGUCCCCAUUGGUAGAUUUAGUGUUUUACAAUAGAGUUUCUGAAAAGCAGUUUUAAAAUACCCUUCAGCAAGCAUUUACUGAGGCCUCGUCUAGGCCAGGACUUGGGCUGGACAUUGCAGGCAUGGCCACAGUAACGAUGACUCAGAACUUGCCCCCAAGGAGUUCACAGUCUGGGAGCAUUGGGGAGAGGAGCAGAAAGUAAACUAGAGAGCACAAAACACAAAGUCACACUCUUGUAUAACAUACACUCAGUAAAAAGGAGGCCCACUAGAGCAGGGUUUCUCAACCUGGCACUAUUGCAUUUGGGGCUGUCUGAGUCUUGCUGUGGGGGCUGCCUGUGCAUUGUGGGGUAUUAGCAGCAUCUCUGAAUUCUACUCAGUAGAUACCAGUAGCCCCCCCACAACCAAAAAUGUCUCUGGACAUUGCCAAAUGUCUCCUGAGGUUGGGGGAGUGAGAAUCACUGCCCCACAGUUACAUCCUGGCAGAGUUAAGCAAUGAAACAAAAUCACUGGCCAUUAAUAAUACUAUAUGAUUUUCAAUUAAGAGCUUAUUUACACACCAAGUACCUUAGAAACCUGAUCUCAUCCCAUCCUCAUCAAAACCUUAUGGUGUGUACAAGCUGGAAUGAUGCCUAUUUUAUAGGUUAGGGCACUGAGGCACAAAGAGUUUAGUGGAUGCCUAGCUGCACAGUAGUGACCGAUAGAGCAGGCAUUUGAAGCCUGCCCUGCCAUCUUAGUCAGUGCACCGAGAUAUGAAGAGCAUUUUUAAAGUGUGCUAGGCUCUUUCAUUUUCAUUACAUGUCCACUGAUAUGGUUUGACUCUGUGUCCCCACCGAAAUCUCAUGUCGAAAUGCAAUCCCCACAUGUUGGAGGAGGGACCUGGUGGGAAGUGAUUGGAUCAUGGAGGUGGAUUUCCCUCCUACUGUUCUCGUGAUAGUGAGUGAGUUCUCAUGAGAUCCAAUGGUUUAAAAGUGUGUGGCACUUCCUCCCUUCACUCUCUCUCUCUCUCCGGCCACCAUGUGAAGAUAUGCGUGCUUCCCCUUCACCCUUCUGCCAUGAUUGUAAGUUUCCUGAGGCUUCCCCAGCCAUGCCUCCUGUACAGCCUGUGGAACUUCAGGACCUGGGAGAGAAAAAAGCUACCAGCAACAUUCAGACUGAGAGAGGCCAAAAUACUAAUUCAUAAUUAGCCUGGUACAUAUGAAGGAUCAAAAAGAACAGGACUGUAUGUCUGACCUCUGACAGGCCCUACCACCAUAGUAGAGACUCAGUAUGUAUACUUAAUGAAGGAAUAAUGAAUACAUCAGCAAGAGAAAUAAGAGUGACCAUAUGUUCCUUAAGAGAAGCAAAGAGCAGCUCCUGUUCCUGCUGGAAUGAGUCUCCAUUCCUUGCAACAGAAGUGUCCUAAGUUAUAGCCAGAGGACGGGGGCACAUUGACAAAACAUAAAGCGGAUAUGAUAAUAACAAGGUACCAUUCCAGCAAGAACAUCUGAAGAAAGAAGCAGUGUUGUUUAUCUUUCCUUCAUCUAUUCUGAAACUAAAAUCCUUAACCAAAUUUAUUUCCGAAGUUUAACCCUUUAAUAAACUGGCCUCUGACUCCACCUGGUGGAGAUACAUAAAUCUAUGAAAAUAAACCAAUCCAAAUGAAGAUUUUAAAGUCAUCAGCUCUCUUUCAUGUCUCAAAGAAAAAACACAUAUCCCGAAAUUCAAAUAGAUGACCUUCUCGGAUGUGUUAUAGGCACUCAGAAGCCCCAAAGAAAAAAUAGUUUGAGUUGAUCAUUUGACUGUUGCUCUCAGCCUUCAUUUCUGCCUUUCUAGGUUGUGUCAGGCAUUUUGACUGUCCAGGGGCCCUGCAUAUUCUAUUUUCCUAGUUACUUGCUAAGGUUUGAAUAUUUGUCCCCCUCCAAAACUCAUGUUGAAAUUUAAUCCCAAAUGUGGCAGUAUUGAGAGGUGGGGCUUUUCAGAGGUGAUUGGGUCAUGAGAGCUCUGUUCUCAUGAGUGGAUUAAUCCAUUCAUGGAUUAAUGGAAUAAUGGACUAAUGGAUUAAUGAGUUAUCAUAGGAGUGGGACUGGUGCCUUUAUAAUAAGAGGAAGAGAGACCUGAGCUAGCACACUCACCCUCUUCACCAUGUGAGGUCCUGUGCCACCAUGGGACUCUGCAGAGUCUCAUCAGCAAGAAGCCACUUACCAGAUGUGGCCCCUUGACCUUGGGCUUCUCAGCUUCCAUAACUGUAAGAAAUAAAUUUCUUUGUAACUUGCCCAGUUUCAAGUAUUCUGUUAUAAGGAACUGAAAAUGGACUAAGAUACUUUCCUAUUGGCUUCUGGUUAGUUUCUAUCAAUAAGAAUUACUGGUAGAAGUUUGAAAGGUAGGAGUGGAGAGAUGGGACCUUUUUUAUUUUAGUUUCUAUUGGCAUUUUCCAGCAGCAAGGAACAAUGGGCAUUUCAUCAUCAUCUUUUAGCAUUUCCAGCACCCACAGCAAGGAGUCCUUUCACCUGCUUAGUAGCAGCCCUUCAGUAAUCCUAGCAUCUAUUUUAGGUGGUGUUUCAUUUGUGGUCUCAGGACUGGCCCAGGUAGUUCUCUUCUCCAUGAUUCUGGACUCUGGUGAUUCCAUCACCUCCACGUACGCCUUCAGCCAGAAGGACUGUCGCUGUUCCCAGCAGCCAUUUAGCAUAGUUACCUAAGUGUAACCAAAUUCCUGUAUUAUAUUCACUUGUUUGAAAAACCUUGAGUGAUUUCUGACCCACUUCUGUCUCAAGGCCUGAAUAUUCUGAUUCAGAUGAAUUUCAGAAAAUGGAAAAAAAAACUUAGUGAAUAAAAAAGAUUAAAUAGUUUUUAGAAAACCAUAGGAGACAAAAAAGCAACUGGAAGUCACACACACACACACACACACACACACAUUCUUUUAACUUUAUAAGUUAUAAUAAAUUAUGGUAAAAGAGUGACAAGUUUACCUACAUGAAUAUUGAAGCCUUUGUAAAAUCUUUAAAGAAAAAAGGGUACCAAUACAACAGAAAAUUUCAGACUGGAAAAAUAUUGGUAGUCAUCGUCUUAGUUUGAGCAUUUAUCAAUUGCAUUAUAGCAAAACCCUCCAAACUGCUCUCUCUGCUUUGAUUGUCUCUUUUUUUUCCAAAUCUUUUCUGCAUAUUGUCAAAGUUACAUUUCUAAGGAGCAAAUUAAAUGCUGUCACUAUGCUCUUUGAAUUAUCAGUCAACAAAGAGAUUUUUUAAACUAAUUAAUUUAUAAUUAUCCACAGAAAUACAUAUUAAAAGGACAGUGAGGUGUCUGCUAACUCUUUACUCUCUUGGAUGCAGCUUAAUUUCUUCUUCCAGGGACACUUUUCUGACAAUUUUGUUCUUAUACAAUUAUAGCAUUUUUUUUUCUUUUUUUGAGACAGGGUUUCACUCUGUCACACAGGCUGGAGUGCAGUGGCAUGAUCUUGGCUCACUGCAACCUCCGCUUCCUGGGUUCAAGCAAUUCUCAUGCCUCAGCCUCCAAAGUAGCUGGGAUUACAGGCAUGCACCUUCACAUUCAGCUCAUUUUUUUUUUUCUGUAUUUUUAGUAGAGACAGGGUUUCACCAUGUUGGCCAGGCUGGUAUUGAACUUCUGACCUCAAAUGAUCCGCCCACCUCGGCCUCCCAAAGUGCUGGUAUUACAGGCGUGAGCCACUGCGCCUGGCCAGUUAUAGCAAUUUUAAAAACAAUAUUCUAAUCAUGUCCUUUGCAG
rnacentral:lncRNA from 1 species